UGUAAUCCCAGCACUUUGGGAGGCUGAGGCGGGCGGAUCACUAGGUCAGGAGAUCGAGACCAUCCUGGCUAACAGGGUGAAACCCUGUCUCUAUUAAAAAUACAAAAACAAAAUUAGCCGGGCGUGGUGGCAGGCACCUAUAGUCCCAGCUACUAGGGAGGCUGAGGCGGGAGAAUGGCGUGAACCUGGGAGGCGGAGCUUGCAGUGAGCCGAGAUGGCACCACUGCACUCCAGCCUGGGUGACAGAAUAAGACUCCAUCUCAAGAAAAAAAAAAAAAUUAGCCAGGUCUGGUGCCAUGUGCCCGUAAGCCUAGCUACUCUGGAGUCUGAGGCUGGAGGAUUGCUUAAGCUCAGGAGUUCAAACCUGCAGUAAGCUGUGAUUUUGCCACUACACUUCAGCCUGUAUGACGGAGCAAGAGACACUGUCUCAAAAAUAAAUAAUAAAAGUGUAAUGGAUGCACAACUUUUCAUUCACUUACUCUAUUCUUUUUUUGUUUUUGUUUUUGUUCUGAAAUGGCAUCUCACUCUGUCGCCCAGGCAGGAGUGUAGUGGCGGGAUCUUGGCCCACUGCAACCUCUGCUUCUCAGACUCAAGAGAUCCUCCCAGCUCAGCCUCCCAAGUAGCUAGGACCACAGCACUGUUCAGGCCCCAGGAAACAAUCUCUACAUGUGGCACUCGACUCUGAAAACAACAAGUCAAGUGUCCUGAUACUUCACGGAUGAUGCCACUGCAGACAUAGGAGACAGACGCUGCUUCAAGAGAGGAUUUGAGUGAACUUGAACUUAGAGGAGUUGAAUCGUGUCCCCCCAGAAGGAUAUGUUGAAGUCCUAACCCCGUGCACCAGUGAAUGUGACCUCAUUUGGAGACAAGACCUUUGCAGAUGAAAGGACAUAGACCGAAGUGCUGCAGCUGCAAGCCAAGGAAUGACUGGGGCUACCAGGAGCGGGAAGAGGCAAGGACAGAUCCUCCCGAGGCUUUGGAGGGAGCGUGGCCCUGCCAACACUUCUUUGCCUGUGUGAACUUCUGGCCUCCAGAACUGCGAGAGAGACCAUUCUGUGUUGUUUGAAGCCACCAAGUUUGUGGUAUUUGUUACAGCGUAAGGAGGACAUCCUCUGAGCAUCUCCUCCCACUGCCUGUCCCAGCCCAGCCAGAAACUGCCCCCCUGGGCUUUGAGAAGCAGCACAGGACCACAGGCAUGUCAUUCCAUUGCCUCAGUUUUAAAUAUUUAUUUAAAAUCCAGAGGGGAAAAGGAGAAACGGAACCCAUUGGGGUUUUAAUACACUGACAUGUGGACAGAGACAUAAACGAAGACAGCAGGAAAAUCCAAGAAUGAGACAGAGGCCAGUGGAUUCUGGCGGCAGGAGGGAUCUGAGCGCUGAGAUGAGGCCUGAGCUGCUACAAACAUGCACUUCCACGCAGAGCGUCCAGGCUGGGGCAGCAGGGCGAGGAUACAGAGGUGUCGGGAGGGGAGACGGGCCAAAGUGAGGUAUUAAAUAAUGAAAAUCAAAUCCAAUUCCCAAAGACACACAACUUUAGGAGAGAAAUACACAAA